UAAAUCUGUUUGGAUAAUGUUUUAAAAAUAUUUUAUGUGAUUAAAAUAAAUUUUAGAGGAAAAUGACUUAAAAUAACUUUCCCAUUAAACCUUUUUAGAAAAAUUAUUAGCAAAAAUAAAAAUCCUACCAAACGAGUCUAGGUGUCCAUUUGGCAUUGCUUUUGAAAAGCUAAAACGAGCAUUUAAGAUUCAAAAGCCUCUUUUAAACCCAAUUAGCUAAUUUUAUAAAACUAAUUUUUCUAGUUAGAAAAGUUUUUAGAGAAAAUUGGUCCAAUAGAACUUUAUCUAAAAGUGUUUUCGGAAUAUGAAGCUUUUUAAAAAUUAGUUUUUGAACAAAAAUUAAUGUAGCAUCCUCCAACAACUUUCCUACAUAAAGCAAAAAUAAAAAUAAUAUCAUAUCAAACGAGCCCUAAGAAACAAAAGUAGGCGCCUUUAUUUGCAUUCAUGGUAUUCUUAUUUGGCUUCAAUAUUAAACACCAAGAAAAUCUGAAACAGAGCCAUGUUUGGAUUCCAUUUUUCAAAAAUACGUUUUUCGAAAUGCAUUUUUAAGCACACGUCCUCUUAUAAAUAAUGUUACACGUAAACCAAAUUUUUUAUUUUUAUUUUUUCGAUCAUUUAUUCUCCAAAAAAUUACUAUUUCAAAACACAUUUUCCUCCAAAAUCUUAUUUUACAGGGGUAGAACUUAAGCAAUGCAUUAGAAGUUUCAAAGAUGAAAAGCAUCUUUUAUCAUACUCGAGACCGUGAUAUGUAUAGUUGAAACAUACAGUAAGAACUAUUUUUAAUUAUUCUUGAAGAAGAAAUAUUUAAAAGAAAUCAUGACAAUUCAAAUAUCUAGUUUUAUUUGACAUCUGAUUAUAUGUGUACAUGAUUUCAAAUUUCGCGUAUUUUUUCGGUUUUUUAAUGUCUCGUAUUUCUUGUAGGUUUAAAAAUAUAUUAUUUUUCUAAAUUUUCGAACGUCUCAUUGUAUUCUUUGUAGGCUUUAUAAUUUAUAUGUAUUCUUUGUAGGCUUUUAUAAAUUUGUCACAACGAUUUUGAUUUUACCAAACUAUAAAGUAUCCCAAUUAAAAAAAUAAAUAAAAAAUAAAAUAAAAAAUGGAAAGGAAGGGGAAAAGGGGGUCUCUCUCAAUAAUUUUUCCCCUUUCUUCUUUAUUUCUAUUUUUCUCCAAUUAAAUUGAGACACGUCAUCGCUGUAAUAAAAAUCUUCUUGUCCGAAGAAUUUGGGUGGAAUUUGCUGUCCUGUUUUCGUAUUUGUAUUUGUAUUUGUAUUUGUAUUUGUAUGUUGUGUGUGUGUGUGUGUGGAAUUGAAGAUCACAGGGAAUGGGUGGAUUUCCAUCCAAUCCAAAGUUCUAUAUCCCCAGCAAUUCCAUAGUGGGCCCUCUACACCCAUUCACCUCAUCACCGUCACCACCGCUCUACGCCUUGGCAACACGGUUCUCCAACGCCGCCGCCUUCAACCUGGGUUCCAUCUUCAUUCAUCUGUCAAGUGAUGUUGUGCUGGUGCAUUUUCAACUAUAUUGAUUAGUUUUUUUUCUCUUUACACGAGAGCUGUGGUUGACUUAGAUUAUACAAUGAUGUGGCAUAUUUUCUGAUUCGAGGUAUGUGUGGGUUUCUAAGUGAUUUGUGAGCAUAUUGAACUGAUCAUCCAUGGAUAUCUAAAAAUUCAUAUUCUUUUAGGUCCAUUGUGACUGUCAAAAGUGUGAGAAGCUACUAAUAGUUACUGUUGUGGCAUUGAGUCUCUCGUUGCAUCAGUAGUUCAUUGUAUUGCUAAAACUGGGAAGAAUCUCUCUUCAAUUUUGCUUCUGUACAGAAUAUUUCUCAUCUUGGUGUUGUCCUUCAGUUCAAGGAUAUAUGGUAAAAAAAGGCACUUCAAUGUACAGGAUGUAAUGGUUUUCAAUGGUGGCACGAUGCUUUGCCAUUCUUGAGCUUAUGUUGCUUCAAUGGAGAUGAAACUAGAAGUGAUCCUAAUGAUAUUGGGAAGUCAUACUCAAAACACAUCUAGAAGAGUCGUAUUUGACAGAAGGCAGUGGAUCAAUAUUCUUCUUGCAGCCAAUUAUUAGUAUAUAUUGCACAAGCCCUUACACAAGUCGAGCUCUUAUUUUGGGGAGCCUGCGUCUGAAUCUGUGAUCAACAGUCUUAUAAACGAAGGGUGGAGGCUACCUACAUCAUCCUUUCUGCAUGCAACUAUUGUGCAUCUGAUGGUCAAUGUUAUUCUUUAAACUCUGUUGGUCCUACUGUUGAGAAAAUAUGCGGUCCUAGAAGAUACCUUACGAUAUACAUCGCCUCUGCUGGAGCAAGUAAACACUAAUAACGAUUACAAUAUACAACGCAUUUCUUAUCUCAAAACUGCCCAGAAAUGUUCUGAAUAAGUCAUUUAAAGAAAAUCAGGGUCGCUGUGAGCUAUUGAUUCAGCAAAGCACCUGCUGUUAGCGCAUCAGGAGCUAUUUUUGGAUUAGUAGGAUCUUUUGCUAUGUUUGUCCUGAGGCACGGGCAUGGUCAAAGGCAGUGAGGGACAUCGUAAUUCUGAAGUUAAGUCGAAGGUCGGUGAGGGAAGAUUUAUAUUAUCCAGGAUGCAAGUUUAAUAUAUAUCAUUUACCCAGCCAUGUAUAUGUUUGCAGUAGCUUCUGAACUCAAAUUGUAUAUUCAAUACCCGUAUAAAUCUACUAAAGGUAGGAUCUUUUGCUAUGUUUGUCCUGAGGCACAGGGGCAUGUUCAAAGGCAGUGAGGGAUAUCGUAAAUAUAUAGCACAAGUGAUCAUGUUGAAUAAGGCUUUUGGACUUCUAUCUGAAGGCAUUGAUAACUGGGGCCACGUAGGAGGCUUGAUUGGUGGAGCUGCUGUAUCUUGGCUUCUCAGUCCUACAUGGAAGGUUGAAUCAGUUUCAUGCAAUGGGUGACAAAUUUUUACAGACAAAGCACCACUUUUCUCCCUCAUCAAGAGACAUAACAAGUAAUGCAGAGCAUAGAGGCUGUUUUGAAGACUCUUUUAUCACUAGGUUCAUCUGCAUAUAGGAUUGGAGAAAGGAUAGAUCUCCUAUCAUCUUUACUCUAAAGAUUCACAUUGAAAAAUGUAUGUGGCAUCAUGUAUGGUUACUCCAAAAUUCAUGUUGGCCUAUGAGAGAACAAAGGGUCAAUACUUCUACAGUCGAUUUGUCUUUGUACAGCACUUGAUCUUGAGUGUCAAUGAAUGGAACACAGGUGGCGAAAAGGGUUCCUGAAGUCGACUUUAAAUUUACGAGUUACAAGACUUUAUAGAGUAGCAUGUAUGAAAGCGUGAGAAUAUGCAAAUCAUGAACACCUAGUUCUUGUAACCAAAAAGUAAGCAUCAAAGACUUCUUGUAAGAAUUUGGAUAUAUGAUUGAGAAUGGUCAAUAUUUUCAUUUCAUUGAA